rnacentral:rRNA from 1 species
UCUGUUAGAAUAAAUAAAAAGCUUUUUCUAAAACUUUUACUUUGCUACGACUUAUCUCAUCUCUGAGAGUGACGGACAAUAUGUACACAUUUUAAAACCUCUUCUUAUAUGUUUUUUAUAAUACUUGCAAAUCCUAUGUUUUUUUUAUCAAUAAAAUUAUCAAUUGUAACUAAAAUUACCUUAAUUAUUUAUACAUGUAAUCUGAUUUAAAAUUUAUAUUUAGAAUAUUUAUUUCAACAACCACACACAAAAUAAAAUUAAGUAAGAAAUAGAGAGGACUAUCUAAUUAAUAUUCAAGUUCCUCUGCAAGGAGUAAAAUACUGCCAUGUUUUUUAGGUUUAGAGACUCGUCUUUUAAUACCUUAAAAAAUUUACUUAAAUAAUAAUAGGCUACUAACCCUAGUCUUUAAAAAUAUUUCAAAUUUAUAUUUAUAUAAAAAAUAAUAAUAUUAUUUCACAACUAAUAUAUUCUAUUUUUUAUAAAAUUUAUUAUAUAAAUUAUUAACUUACUUCUAAG